rnacentral:rRNA from 1 species
UGCAGUCGAGCGUGAAAAGCCUUCGGGCUGAGUAAAGCGGCGGACGGGUGAGUAACGCGUAGGAAUCUACCUGGUAGUGGGGGACAACAUGGGGAAACUCAUGCUAAUACCGCAUACGCCCUACGGGGGAAAGCGGGGGACCUUCGGGCCUCGCGCUAUCAGAUGAGCCUGCGUUGGAUUAGCUUGUUGGUGAGGUAAAAGCUCACCAAGGCGACGAUCCAUAGCUGGUCUGAGAGGAUGAUCAGCCACACUGGGACUGAGACACGGCCCAGACUCCUACGGGAGGCAGCAGUGGGGAAUAUUGCGCAAUGGGGGAAACCCUGACGCAGCCAUGCCGCGUGUGUGAAGAAGGCCUUAGGGUUGUAAAGCACUUUCAAUUGGGAAGAAAGGUUGUACGUUAAUAGCGUGCAGCUGUGACGUUACCUUUAGAAGAAGCACCGGCUAACUCCGUGCCAGCAGCCGCGGUAAUACG